CUCUGCUGCACUCCUGUUUGUGGGUUGAUUUGACUUCAGGGCUUGCCUUGUUACCCAGUGAUCUGGGCUGUUGGUUGGGGCUAGCUCCUGCUUGACAAGCAACAGCUGAUGAUGCUCUGCCAUGGGGCUGAUGUGCUCCAGCUUUAACCCCUGGUGCAACUGCUGUAACGAUGGACAGUAAAGAGCAAACGAUGGUGAUAAGACCUUUCUUACCCUCUGCUCUCUUCCUUUCUUCUGAAGAGCCCAAAGAGAUGUCCCAUUGGCUUGGGAAAGCCUUGAAGCAGUGGGAUGGCAAGCCCCAGCUCCCCAGACCUUAGUCCGUGGUCCCCACAACUGGCCUGCAUCAGCUCAAGAACCACAGGUAGCCUUGUGUGGGCCCCACACAACACAACCACCACCAGCAGCACCAUGGCUGGACCCCACCAAAUGUUUUCGGUGUGUUCCCUUGCAAAGGGUUGGAAAAUAGUAAUUCUGUGAGUGUGCCUGCAGCCACAUCCCUUUCCACCAGUCAGGAUGGGUGUGGGGCGGAAUGGGCUCGCUUAAAGCACAUGGGGUGCUCCUCCUCUUCCUUCCUGUUGGAGGAGGGGAUGUAUCAAAAAGCAUCUCCGUGCCGCAAAGCCAGACCUCCGCUGUUCCCACGAGCCUGCGCUGACCCUGCACUUGAUGUUUUUUUAUGCUUGCAAUGCUCUUAUCAGCUGGGGCCAAGCAAAGUCAAGCUGGCUGCGGAUGACAGAGGGUUUGCAGCUCUGACUUCUGAGCCUCAGGGAGUUCCAUGACAGUAGCCACAAGUAGAAAGGGACGCUUGCCAGCUUCUCCUCUUUGAAGGUUGUCCAUCAGGUCCUAGCCUCAGGGCUGGGGGAGCACGUCUGUGACUUCCUGCUUGACACUGGAUAAAUUAGGACAAGCCUCUCGUCUCCUUCAGAUGCCUUAAAGCAAGGCACUGAUUAGAAGCUGUCAGGGUUCAGGAUAACUCUGUAUUCCUCAUGGGUGGAGGAAACCUUUAAGGAAGUCAUAGAAACCUGUGGCCAUCUCUGUACUCCUCAGAUACUGCUGAAACCAGCGUGAUGGGAGGAUGUUGAUCCCAACCUGGGUGGAGAGGGGACCUGCUUCUCCAGGCACGCCACAAAUUCUGGAUACUGCAGAGACAGGAAGCAUCUGCCAGGUGUUAGGCUGGUGUUCCAGCCACCUCUGCGUUGCCAGUGAGAUGUAAAGGGCUGAGAAGCAUGUUGACCUUCAGCUCCACAGGGAGGGAGAUGCUAAAGCUCCAGUUGUUCUCAGGAAACUGAGAACAGUGUCCUCUGUGUUGCAUCUAGUAGGGAUUUUCUGCCAGAGCCUUUUCAAGUUUUGGGUUAAUUUGGAUAUUCACCCAUCUUGAAGCCUGGGUCAAGAGUUUGGUGUUGCAUUUCCUGUGGCACGCCUGUCUCCGUGCUUACUUCUGUAUUGAUUUUCUCUAGAAAACAAAACAAAACAAAAAAAAAAAUGGCAAGUGAGUGAGGCCUACUUGAGGCUUGGUGUUUCAAGAAUCUCUUCUCUAAACCAUCUCUGGCUGAUGUUAGGAUUGGAUGGAUGACAGAUGGUAACCAACCAGACCAAAAAAAAAAAAA